rnacentral:lncRNA from 1 species
GCAUCUAGGGCAUACAUCUAACAUGGGUGCCUCCAUAGAGCCCAGAAAGAAGGGAGACCUGCCAGAGCCACCUCAUGUCCCAAGAACCAGCAAGGCAACGAUCUCCCAGCCCACGAUCAGGGCAUGACUUCACCCCUGAUCGUCAUUCUCCCCGACACUCUGAAGCCUAAACCACCCAAGAUCUGGCCAUCAAGAGGCAGUUUCGAAUGCUUGAUGAACGAAUCGAUGCUAUCCACAACAUCUCCUCGGGGCAGCCCUAAGA